AGCUUGGAGAGUUUGAUCCUGGCUCAGGAUGAACGCUAGCGGCGUGCCUUAUGCAUGCAAGUCGAACGGUCU
rnacentral:rRNA from 1 species